rnacentral:rRNA from 1 species
AGCAGCCGCGGUAAUUCUAGCUCCAAUAGCGUAUAUUAAAGUUGUUGCAGUUAAAAAGCUCGUAGUUGAAUUUCGGGAUCAAUUUAUUGGUCGUGCUAUUGUACGUACUGGUAUUAUUGAUUUCUACCUUCUGACGAACCAUGAUGUCAUUAAUUUGGUGUCUUGGGGAAUCAGGACUGUUACUUUGAAAAAUUAGAGUGUUUAAAGCAGGCUCACGCUUGAAUACAUUAGCAUGGAAUAACGAAAUAGGACGUUUGAUUCUAUUUUGUUGGUUUCUAGGAUCGACGUAAUGAUUAAUAGGGAUAGUUGGGGGCAUUAGUAUUCAAUUGUCAGAGGUGAAAUUCUUGGAUUUAUUGAAGACUAACUACUGCGAAAGCAUUUGCCAAGGAUGUUUUCAUUAAUCAAGAACGAAAGUUAGGGGAUCGAAGACGAUCAGAUACCGUCGUAGUCUUAACCAUAAACUAUGCCGGCUAGGGAUCGGAUGAUGUUAAUUUUUUAAUGUACUCAUUCGGCGUCCUUA